ACGGGUGAGUAAUGCUUAGGAAUCUGCCUAUUAGUGGGGGACAACAUUCCGAAAGGAAUGCUAAUACCGCAUACGUCCUACGGGAGAAAGCAGGGGAUCUUCGGACCUUGCGCUAAUAGAUGAGCCUAAGUCGGAUUAGCUAGUUGGUGGGGUAAAGGCCUACCAAGGCGACGAUCUGUAGCGGGUCUGAGAGGAUGAUCCGCCACACUGGGACUGAGACACGGCCCAGACUCCUACGGGAGGCAGCAGUGGGGAAUAUUGGACAAUGGGGGGAACCCUGAUCCAGCCAUGCCGCGUGUGUGAAGAAGGCCUUAUGGUUGUAAAGCACUUUAAGCGAGGAGGAGGCUACUGAGACUAAUACUCUUGGAUAGUGGACGUUACUCGCAGAAUAAGCACCGGCUAACUCUGUGCCAGCAGCCGCGGUAAUACAGAGGGUGCGAGCGUUAAUCGGAUUUACUGGGCGUAAAGCGUGCGUAGGCGGCUUUUUAAGUCGGAUGUGAAAUCCCCGAGCUUAACUUGGGAAUUGCAUUCGAUACUGGGAAGCUAGAGUAUGGGAGAGGAUGGUAGAAUUCCAGGUGUAGCGGUGAAAUGCGUAGAGAUCUGGAGGAAUACCGAUGGCGAAGGCAGCCAUCUGGCCUAAUACUGACGCUGAGGUACGAAAGCAUGGGGAGCAAACAGGAUUAGAUACCCUGGUAGUCCAUGCCGUAAACGAUGUCUACUAGCCGUUGGGGCCUUUGAGGCUUUAGUGGCGCAGCUAACGCGAUAAGUAGACCGCCUGGGGAGUACGGUCGCAAGACUAAAACUCAAAUGAAUUGACGGGGGCCCGCACAAGCGGUGGAGC
rnacentral:rRNA from 1 species